rnacentral:rRNA from 1 species
AGUCUAGGCGGCUUGUUAAGUCAGAUGUGAAAAUGCAGGGCUCAACUCCGUAUUGCGUUUGAAACUGGCAGGCUAGAGUACUGGAGAGGUGGGCGGAACUACAGGUGUAGAGGUGAAAUUCGUAGAUAUUUGUAGGAAUGCCGAUAGUGAAGACAGCUCACUGGACAGAUACUGACGCUAAAGCUCGAAAGCGUGGGGAGCGAACAGGAUUAGAUACCCUGGUAGUC